UCGUUGGAGGUGGUUGGCGGUGGUUGGAGAUGGUCGUGGGUGGACAAGGAGGACGAGAUAGACGAGGAGAACAAGGUGGACGAGGAGGACAAGGAUUUGUGAUCGGUAUAACCCGAGGUGGUUAGGAAUGGUCGUUGGAGGUGGUUGGCGGUGGUUGGAGAUGGUCGUGGGUGGACAAGGAGGACGAGAAAGACGAGGAGAACAAGGUGGACGAGGAGGACAAGGAUUUGUGAUCGGUAUAACCCGAGGUGGUUAGCAGUGGUCGUUGGACGUGGUUGGCGGUGGUUGGAGGUGAUCAAGCUGGAUGAGAUGGAUGAGGUGAACGAGGAGAACGGAGGUGGUCGGAGGUAGUAGGGGGUGUUAGGGUGUGGUAAGGGGUGGUAGGCAGGAGUAGUAGAAGUUGGAUUAGGAGUAGGAGUAAGAUUUGGA